ACUCAGGGCCUAUCAGCCCAUCCUUUAUUCCUCAACUUCUACGUACAGGAUAUUUGGAGAACCGGAUCUUUCCGCUCCGCAUCACCAAGGAGUUGCCUGAGAGUCCAAUAGUCCCAAAGCCUGAUCAUCACCCUCCAGGCCUCCAGAGGAACAGUUGCAAAGUCAGGGAAGCUGGCCUGCUACUUGGAUGAGUGAAAUUUUUUUCUCUGGCCACAGUCUAUCCAGGAUGGAGCCUACAUUGCUCAGCCUCUGCAGUCUGCCUUUACUUGCUGGCCCCGGCCCCUAACCCCUGUGUCGAGCCCACAUGACUCCAUUCUGCCCCCAGGAGCAUCCUCCAAUCAAAAUAUUAUCA